GGCAACCCGCUCCAGUAUUCUUGCCUGCAGAGUUCCAUGGACAGAGGAGGCUGGUGGGCUACACUCCAUGCGGUCGCAGAGAGUUAGAGAGGGAAUGAGGAGCGGAAGAGGACAUUUCUGGGAGAAGAAAUGGCUUCCUGGAAAUGGGGAGACAAAGGGCCCUGAAAUAAAAGCAAAUGACUGGAAAGAUAAAUGUGCCCUUCAGAGAACAGAAGAUGGAUUCUUAUCUGCUGGACCCACAGCCGAGUCCAUGAAAGCUUCUUGGAGGAAUGCGGCCUUCAUGGGUAAGUAAGAAGCAUACAGGGUAAGAUGAGAGCUUUCAGUGCCCUAAAAACGUCCCUAUGAAGAAGAAACUCGUGUCAAUAGAAUUCACUGAAUGUCU
ensembl:lncRNA